rnacentral:lncRNA from 1 species
GAAAAUCUGAACAGGUUCACUGGUCGAAUAGUCAAGCCACAGAGCCUACAUUGGAGUAUUCGGACCAGCAAAUCUUCAUCAUUCACACUGACAGCCCGGUGCAAGUGCUCACUACUUAUGGGCUCUCCUGGAGAAAUGAGAUGGAAGGCAGUCAUCCAGAACAUCAGAAAAGGAGACUGCUUCCCGCCAUCGUCCUCCUGUGGCCUUCAGGGGAUCAUCUUCAGGAAGGCGCUUGGCUAUUCCUGUUAAGUAUAUCUUACAUUUCCUACUCACCUGCUUCUUUUACCGAAAAUGACCUUGUUUUCACAUAUUAAGAGAACAUUUUGACUGACCUAAAGCUUGGGACAUUUCCAAGUUAUACAGUAUUGCUUUGUGAAUGUUACUUUGAUAUUUGGAAAUAAUCCUUUCAGAUUUCAUAAGACUUAAUAAAUGUCUCCUACAAGCAAGGAAAACCUCAGCAAUUGUCACAAUAUGCUAGUUUUAUUUGCCAAAGAGAUGUUAAACUACUUGGAAAAAAAAAAAAGACAAAGUGCUUUAACAUUUGAAAUUAAAAUUUUCAGUUCUUCCCAGGAAUGUGACUUACAUAUUGGCCUUGUCUUCUCUGAGCUUCUGGGGGCAGAAGGGCUUCGACCCACAGGAAGGUGGGGAGCACCAGGAGAAAAGCCAAUUAGGGGAGAGAGCUUGCCAACCAGCGAAGACCCAGGAGGAGUCCAGAAGCCUAAAAGAACAAUGGGCCACAGCCGGGGAGGAGGGCAUCCUUUGUACAGGGGACAUCAGCUCCACAGCGAAGCCAACAGGCAGGCGGGCAGCACAAGCAGAGGGAGAAUAAAGGGCUAUGUAGAAGCCACCCAUCUUUCUAGGCGUUUCUAGUUUCAUUUGUUCUUUAUUCUACACCUUCUGAUUUUAAAAAGUAUCACAAUUAAGCUUAAAUGAAAUAACACCAAUGAAGCACUUCGAAUAGCACCUGACACAUCGUAAGUACCCAGCACACAACCUGUUGUUGGGGGUGACAGU